CUUCAGGCGGAGGAGAACCAACAGGGAUUGCCUCAGUAACGGCGAGUGAAGCGGCAACAGCUCAAAUUUGAAAUCUGGCCCUCGGGUCCGAGUUGUAAUUUGUAGAGGAUGCUUUUGGCGCGGUGCCUUCCGAGUUCCCUGGAACGGGACGCCUUAGAGGGUGAGAGCCCCGUACGGUUGGACACCAAGCCUCUGUAAAGCUCCUUCGACGAGUCGAGUAGUUUGGGAAUGCUGCUCUAAAUGGGAGGUAAAUUUCUUCUAAAGCUAAAUAUUGGCCAGAGACCGAUAGCGCACAAGUAGAGUGAUCGAAAGAUGAAAAGCACUUUGAAAAGAGGGUUAAAUAGCACGUGAAAUUGUUGAAAGGGAAGCGUUUGCGACCAGACCUUUUCCUGGCGGAUCAUCCGGUGUUCUCACCGGUGCACUUCGCCAGGUCGAGGCCAGCAUCGGUUUCCGCGGGGGGAUAAAAGCUCUGGGAACGUAGCUCCUCCGGGAGUGUUAUAGCCCUCUGCACAAUACCCCCGCGGGGACCGAGGACCGCGCUCUAAGCAAGGAUGCUGGCGUAAUGGUUGUCAACGACCCGUCUUGAAACACGGACCAAGGAGUCGAACAUUUGUGCGAGUGUUUGGGUGUCAAACCCUCACGCGUAAUGAAGGUGAACGUAGGUGAGAGCCCUUACGGGUGCAUCAUCGACCGAUCCUGAUGUCUUCGGAUGGAUUUGAGUAAGAGCAUAACUGUUCGGACCCGAAAGAUGGUGAACUAUGCGUGGAUAGGGUGAAGCCAGAGGAAACUCUGGUGGAGGCUCGCAGCGGUUCUGACGUGCAAAUCGAUCGUCAAAUCUGCGCAUGGGGGCGAAAGACUUAUCGAACCAUCUAGUAGCUGGUUACCGCCGAAGUUUCCCUCAGAUAGCAGUGUUGUUCUUCAGUUUUAUGAGGUAAAGCGAAUGAUUAGGGACUCGGGGGCGCUUUUUUGCCUUCAUCCAUUCUCAAACUUUA
rnacentral:rRNA from 1 species